UAGGGAAUCUUCCGCAAUGGGCGAAAGCCUGACGGAGCAACGCCGCGUGAGUGAUGAAGGUCUUCGGAUCGUAAAACUCUGUUAUUAGGGAAGAACAAAUGUGUAAGUAACUAUGCACGUCUUGACGGUACCUAAUCAGAAAGCCACGGCUAACUACGUGCCAGCAGCCGCGGUAAUACGUAGGUGGCAAGCGUUAUCCGGAAUUAUUGGGCGUAAAGCGCGCGUAGGCGGUUUUUUAAGUCUGAUGUGAAAGCCCACGGCUCAACCGUGGAGGGUCAUUGGAAACUGGAAAACUUGAGUGCAGAAGAGGAAAGUGGAAUUCCAUGUGUAGCGGUGAAAUGCGCAGAGAUAUGGGGGAACACCAGUGGCGAAGGGGACUUUCUGGUCUGUAACUGACGCUGAUGUGCGAAAGCGUGGGGAUCAAACAGG
rnacentral:rRNA from 1 species